rnacentral:rRNA from 1 species
UUAUAGCUUGCUAUGAAGAAUAAUUAGUGGCAGACGGGUGAGUAAUGCAUAGGAAUCUACCUAGUAGUAUGGGAUAGCCACUAGAAAUGGUGGGUAAUACUGUAUAAUCCCUGCGGGGGAAAGAUUUAUCGCUAUUAGAUGAGCCUAUGUUAGAUUAGCUAGUUGGUAGGGUAAAGGCCUACCAAGGCGAUGAUCUAUAGCUGGUCUGAGAGGAUGAUCAGCCACACUGGAACUGAGAUACGGUCCAGACUCCUACGGGAGGCAGCAGUGGGGAAUAUUGGACAAUGGGCGCAAGCCUGAUCCAGCUAUGCCGCGUGAGUGAGGAAGGCCUUAGGGUUGUAAAACUCUUUCAGUAGGGAAGAUAAUGACGGUACCUACAGAAGAAGUCCCGGCAAACUCCGUGCCAGCAGCCGCGGUAAUACGGAGGGGGCAAGCGUUGUUCGGAAUUAUUGGGCGUAAAGGGCAUGUAGGCGGUUCGGUAAGUUAAAGGUGAAAUGCCAGGGCUUAACCCUGGAGCUGCUUUA